rnacentral:hammerhead_ribozyme from 1 species
AUCCAGCUGAUGAGUCCCAAAUAGAACGAAAGGCGCGUGAUGGAU